rnacentral:rRNA from 1 species
GACAGAGGGUGCAAACGUUGCUCGGAAUUACUGGGCGUAAAGGGCGUGUAGGCGGGCAGGUAAGUCGGGCGUGAAAUCCCUGGGCUCAACCCAGGAACUGCACUCGAAACUACUUGUCUUGAGUACCGGAGAGGAAAGCGGAAUUCCUGGUGUAGAGGUGAAAUUCGUAGAUAUCAGGAGGAACACCAGUGGCGAAGGCGGCUUUCUGGACGGUAACUGACGCUGAGGUGCGAAAGCGUGGGGAGCAAACAGG